AUUGAACGCUGGCGGCAGGCCUAACACAUGCAAGUCGAGCGGUUGAAGGGAGCUUGCUCCCUGAUUCAGCGGCGGACGGGUGAGUAAUGCCUAGGAAUCUGCCUAUUAGUGGGGGACAACGUUUCGCAAGGGACGCUAAUACCGCAUACGUCCUACGGGAGAAAGCAGGGGACCUUCGGGCCUUGCGCUAAUAGAUGAGCCUGGGUCGGAUUAGCUUGUUGGUGAGGUAAUGGCUCACCAAGGCGACGAUCCGUAACUGGUCUGAGAGGAUGAUCAGUCACACUGGAACUGAGACACGGUCCAGACUCCUACGGGAGGCAGCAGUGGGGAAUAUUGGACAAUGGGCGAAAGCCUGAUCCAGCCAUGCCGCGUGUGUGAAGAAGGUCUUCGGAUUGUAAAGCACUUUAAGUUGGGAGGAAGGGUUGUAGAUUAAUACUCUGCAAUUUUGACGUUACCGACAGAAUAAGCACCGGCUAACUCUGUGCCAGCAGCCGCCGUAAUAC
rnacentral:rRNA from 1 species